GGCACUGGGAGAGGAUGGACUUAUGGCGCAUUAGCUGGUUGGUGAGGUAACGGCUCACCAAGGCGACGAUGCGUAGCCGACCUGAGAGGGUGACCGGCCACACUGGGACUGAGACACGGCCCAAACUCCUACGGGAGGCAGCAGUAGGGAAUUUUCGGCAAUGGGGGGAACCCUGACCGAGCAACGCCGCGUGAAGGAAGAAGGAAUUCGUUCUGUAAACUUCUGUUAUAAAGGAAGAAAGACGGAUGGAGGAAAUGACAUCCGAGUGACGGUACUUUAUGAGAAAGCCACGGCUAACUACGUGCCAGCAGCCGCGGUAAUACGUAGGUGGCAAGCGUUAUCCGGAAUUAUUGGGCGUAAAGAGGGAGCAGGCGGCAGCAAAGGUCUGUGGUGAAAGACUGAAGCUUAACUUCAGUAAGCCAUAGAAACCGGGCAGCUAGAGUGCAGGAGAGGAUCGUGGAAUUCCAUGUGUAGCGGUGAAAUGCGUAGAUAUAUGGAGGAACACCAGUGGCGAAGGCGACGAUCUGGCCUGCAACUGACGCUCAGUCCCGAAAGCGUGGGGAGCAAAUAGGAUUAGAUACCCUAGUAGUCCACGCCGU
rnacentral:rRNA from 1 species